rnacentral:rRNA from 1 species
AUUGAACGCUGGCGGCAGGCCUAACACAUGCAAGUCGAGCGGAUGAGGGGAGCUUGCUUCUGGAUUCAGCGGGGGACGGGUGGGUAAUGCCUAGGAAUCUGCCUGGUAGUGGGGGAUAACGUACGGAAAGGGGCGCUAUUACAGUAUACGAUCUGAGGGAGAAAGAGGGGGAUCUUGGGACCUACAGCUAUUUGAUGAGCCUAGGUCGGAUUAGCUAGUUGGUGGGGUAAAGGCCUACCAAGGCGACGAUCCGGAACUGGUUUGAGAGGAUGAUCAGUCACACUGGAACUGAGACACGGUCCAGACUCCUACGGGAGGCAGCAGUGGGGAAUAUUGGACAAUGGGCGAAAGCCUGAUCCAGCCAUGCCGCGUGUGUGAAGAAGGUCUUCGGAUUGUAAAGCACUUUAAGUUGGGAGGAAGGGCAGUAAGUUAAUACCUUGCUGUUUUGACGGUACCAACAGAAUAAGCACCGGCUAACUUCGUG